CAUAUCACUAAGCGGAGGAAAAGAAACUAACUAGGAUUCCCCCAGUAACUGCGAGUGAAGAGGGAAGAGCUCAUCAUUGGAAUCUGGCAGUGUUGCACUGUCCGAGUUGUAGAUGAGGAGUAGUCCGUCUGGACUGCAUGGCGUCCAAGUACAAUAGGCCGUCAGUGGGACAUCAUAGAGGGUGACAAUCCCGUCCUUGACGCCAAUGUGCAAGUCUAUUACGAUGGCUAUCUCAGAGAGUCGAGCAGUUUGGGAUUUGCUGCUUAAACAUGGGAGGUAGAUUCCUUCUAAAGCUAAAUACAGGCGAGAGACCGAUAGAGAACAAGUACCGCAAGGGAAAGAUGAAAUAGCACUCUGUGAAGGGAGUCAAAAGGCGUGAAAUUGUUGCGAGAGAAGCGAUUCAAGUCAGCGUAGCUAGGCCCAUCAAGCGUCUUCGCUUUGGACUAGCUUUGCCAGCGGUCUUGUCCCUUGAAGAGACUUGACUUGUAAUAUGUCCAGCCUGGCGUGCACAGGCAGCCCCUUCUGGGGGCCAGUGGCAUGGCUGGUGGAAUGGCUUGCAAUCGACCCGUCUUGAAACACGGACCAAGGAGUCUAACAUGUAUGCGAGUAUAAGGGUGGCAAACCCGUAUGCGCAAUGAAAGUGAUUUUCGGUGAUUGAGAAUGGCCUGAUGACCAGACAAGCAAUAUAUGUCCCUCGUACGGCCAUUGCCCAAGUUCCGUGGUAGAUCCCACGAACAUGGAGUUGGAGCAUACAUGCUAGGACCCGAAAGAUGGUGAACUAUGCCUGGACAAAGCGAAGCCAAAGGAAACUCUGGUGGAGGCUUGUAGCGAUUCUGACGUGCAAAUCGAUCGUCUGAUCUGGGUAUAGGGGCGAAAGACUAAUCGAACC
rnacentral:rRNA from 1 species